rnacentral:lncRNA from 1 species
CAUUAGUUUGUUACAUCAAUCUCUCGAUAGUUUGUGCACUAUAUAGUGAAGCACAAUGUCGAAAGUUGUGGCAGUAGUGAUGGUUCUUACUUUGAUGAUGAUCACCUUGGUUGACCACCAGGAGCAAGUAGUCGUAGCCACUCCAAUAGAAGGAACCAGACAAGGAUGGGUGCGCUAUUCCGUGACUCCAACGUACUCUAUUACAUCACCGUCAUCCGAUGGUCUACAUCCCCAUUGUGGGGGUAUGCACCCAAGUGGUUGUCCUCCGCUUCCGGCAUAGUGACAAGUUGUAUUUUUCCCAUGCUUGUUAUGCUGAAUAAAACAUCGUCCAUGCUACUGUUUUC